GAUGAACGCUGGCGGCGUGCCUAAUACAUGCAAGUCGAGCGAACAGACGAGGCGCUUGCUCCUCUGACGUUAGCGGCGGACGGGUGAGUAACACGUGGAUAACCUACCUAUAAGACUGGGAUAACUUCGGGAAACCGGAGCUUAUACCGGAUAAUAUAUUGAACCGCAUGGUUCAAUAGUGAAAGACGGUUUUGCUGUCACUUAUAGAUGGAUCCGCGCCGCAUUAGCUAGUUGGUACGGUAACGGCUUACCAAGGCAACGAUGCGUAGCCGACCUGAGAGGGGGAUCGGCCACACUGGAACUGAGCCACGGUCCAGACUCCUACGGGAGGCAGCAGUAGGGAAUCUUCCGCAAUGGGCGAAAGCCUGACGGAGCAACGCCGCGUGAGUGAAGAAGGUCUUCGGAUCGUAAAACUCUGUUAUUAGUGAAGAACAAAUGUGUAAGUAACUAUGCACGUCUUGACGGUACCUAAUCAGAAAGCCACGGCUAACUACGUG
rnacentral:rRNA from 1 species